AACUCAUUACCGUGGCAUGGUAUCAUAUUGAAAUCAUUUUUUGAACGUACAGGUAAGCAGCAGCUCUACUUUGGGGUGGAUCAAAUUGUGUCAAUUUCACAUUAUCCCUAUCAUUUAAGGGGGCGCGUGGGUCUAAAUCAACUUUUUUUUUUAAAAAUGGGAUUUUCCUAUGUUUUUCUAUGAUUAAACUUUAUCUUAUACCUAAUAGAAAUAUAAAAUAAAAAUAUAGGGAGAUAAUUUGGAGCUUUUUCAAUGAUAUAAACAUUUUUAAAGUCAUCUGUGGCCAAACUUAUCGAUUGGUCUUGGUGAUUUUUGUACCAUAUUAUAAAGUG
rnacentral:lncRNA from 1 species